GUGCGAGACCGAUAGCGAACAAGUACCGUGAGGGAAAGAUGAAAAGAACUUUGAAAAGAGAGUUAAAGAGUACCUGAAACUGCUGAAAGGGAACCGAAUCGUAUCCAGUGUCUAUAAUCCAUGGCAUAUUUCAUUGGCGAGUGAGUGCGUGCAGCGUUUUGGAAGUGGUUUUCCGCUCCUGUCGUUGUUGUGCAUUUGCUUGCUGGUGCCCUGUGCUGUGGUGGGACGUCAGAGUCAGUUUGUGUGUCGCGGGAAAUGGUUAUUGGGGAGGUAGGUCGCUUCGGUGGCUAUUAUAUCCUGGUAACUAGUCGUCGUGGCUGAGACUGAGGUGCCUACAAUGUGCUUUCGAGUGUGCGGGUUUCUCGUGUGGCUGUUUGCUUUGAUAGCUUGCUAUGUUGGUGAAUAAGUUGUGCGAUUGAGACCUGUAUUAACUUGUUGCUGUUCGGGACUUUG
rnacentral:rRNA from 2 species